ACGGGAGGCAGCAGUGGGGAAUAUUGCACAAUGGGGGAAACCCUGAUGCAGCGACGCCGCGCGAGUGAAGAAGUAUUUCGGUAUGUAAAGCUCUAUCAGCAGGAAAGAAAAUGACGGUACCUGACUAAGAAGCCCCGGCUAACUACGUGCCAGCAGCCGCGGUAAUACGUAGGGGGCAAGCGUUAUCCGGAUUUACUGGGUGUAAAGGGAGCGUAGACGGUAAAGCAAGUCUGAAGUGAAAGGCUGGGGCUCAACCCCAGGACUGCUUUGGAAACUGUUAAACUAGAGUGCAGGAGAGGUAAGUGGAAUUCCUAGUGUAGCGGUGAAAUGCGUAGAUAUUAGGAGGAACACCAGUGGCGAAGGCGGCUUACUGGACUGUAACUGACGUUGAGGCUCGAAAGCGUGGGGAGCAUACAGGAUUAGAUACCCUGGUA
rnacentral:rRNA from 1 species